AAUGGGGGAACCCGAUGGAUGAAGAAUCCAUCAUUCUUAAAUGAAUACAUAGUUUAAGAAAGCGAACCGGGAGAACUGAAACAUCUAAGUACCCCGAGGAAAAGAAAUCAACCGAGAUUUUGUGAGUAGCGGCGAGCGAAAGCGAAGGAGCCUGCAAGUGAUAGCGACAGAGAUAGAGGAAGCAAUUGGGAAAUUGCGCGAUACAGGGUGAUAGCCCCGUACUUGAAAUCCAUGUUGUGGUACUAAGCUUGCGAGAAGUAGGGCGGGACACGAGAAAUCCUGUUUGAAGAAGGGGGGACCAUCCUCCAAGGCUAAAUA
rnacentral:rRNA from 1 species